rnacentral:lncRNA from 1 species
CCAGGCCCAACUGUGGUGGAUGGCAUGCCCGCCGGCGCUCCAUACUCCCCUCUUCUCCAUCUUUCCCCUCGCCAUCUCCCUCCUCACUCCCUGUUCCGCCCCCACCCCUACUGCUGCAGGCUCAACCAUGGUGGUCAACACGGGGAUGUGAGCGUGAACGGGCGGCGUCGGUGGACAAGAGAUGCGUAGAGGACCUCAAGUGCUGCAGACGCUGGCGAGGUGAGUGAUGAUGCUUCUUCCUAUUGGCUACAGAGGCAGAUUUAGGGUCUGAUUUGAUUUGUUUGUGUUCCGGUAAUUGGUGAAGGUGAGAAUGAUAUUGCACUGUUGAUGGAGCGCAAGUAGCACAAAUUAAUCAUGUGCAUUGCCCAUUAUUGAAUAUCAGGUUCGAUGUUCUUGAUUUCUUAUUUGAGCUGUUACUCAUUACUUUUUUAAUCAGGGUACAAUAGUCAAUGCAUCGCUACUUCCAUGUAUACAAUGGAAGUAAUUUUGUACACAUAUGCAUUCUUCCAAAUUGCAGUUUACAUGGGGUAAACGAUCAUGUUGGUCUCUAUGCUGCAGAUAUUCCAAAAUAAAGGAGGCGGCUGGAGGAAGCAUUGGAGGCCAAGUUCAGCAGCAACGGUCAGCUGUCGUCGGUGGCCGGAUGACGACAUCUGCAAAGGAAUGAGGGACACUACAGGAACAAUAUAGUAGUGGUCAAACUUUGGGUAGAGUGAUAAAUGAUUUUUGUAUUUUUCUUAUUCAGAUUAAAGGGUGAUCAUUCCCCGAGUUACUUGCCAAAAACUAAAAUGUAUACAUGUGCCAAUUAAGUUCAAAUCCUCGGGUGGGUUCAAAUAUUUUGUCAUGAGAAGUCCAGAUGUUCAGUUUUGGGAAAGUAUACCUCCCGCUGAAAGAACAGGGGAAAACCGUUUCAUUGACGCCGAGGUCGCCCUGAUGCUGAUCACCAGCGCGGCGUUGGCAGUGGCAUGCUGCUGGGCCGGCGCUGCAACUACACGGUUAAGGAGGGGAUAUGUGAGGUCGAGCCUGAGAUCCGUAGCAUGCAUGACUGCGUGGACAUGGCAGCAGCCGUGGACAUGGCAGCAGCCAUGGCUCGGCAGCGGUGUUAGUUUUUGUUUGUAGGUUUUUUCUGGUAGUGACACUUAUGAAGAAAGUUAGGUGAUCCAUACUGGCAGGGAUGCUACUGAGUUGGAAGAGUAGCAAACAUAACACCAAACAUAACAUGUGUUUCUUACUCUUUGUGUAUGGCUUGUUGUCAAAACACCAAACAUAACAUGUGCUUGAUUAAUUCAGUCAAGCCAUUACUUGUCUACAAUGUACGAAAGUGUAAUGUUUUCAUGUGUAUUAUGAUGUUUCAAGUAUACUACUCUUAAGAAGGUUGGAAUCAAUGAGGCAUCACAUAAUUGUGUUUGAUACAUUCUUCAGGUUGAGGGUCUGAUAAUGGACGUAAGACAGCUGUUGGAGAGGAGAUUAAAAUAUGGAAGAUAGCAGCAGACGAGGUAGCUGAAGCUGGUAGAUCAAUUGAGCAAGAGCCCCAGAUCCAGGUGUGUUUAUAAUGAGCUGUUUGUAAGACCAGUGCUACAUGGUUCCACUUGGAGUCUCUGUAUUUAUUUGGCUGAUGGUGUGCAUGAGUUUGAGCUAUUUAUUAUUGUGUAGUUUUGACUUUAGAACCAUGGAAGCUGUCCCUCUUUUAUAAAUAACUUCAUGUGGAAAAGUAUUCUUUUCGAGGGAAACAAGGUCAAGAAUUGGCAUUAGUGGUUGGCAGUGAUGAUAAGUUUGCAUUUUAUACCAGCUAGCAAGACUUCACAGAAAUUUGUUAGAGGAAUUGCAAUAUCUUUAUCAAACAUUAUUUUUCUCAUUCCUUUUUGGUUUUAGACAAGAAUAAUAGAGAAUCUCAAUGCUUCUACUGUUGCAGUACCUGUAGUAGAGCAACCGCUACCUCAAAACUUCAGAGAAGAUGGGCAUGAAUGCCUGUUUUGGUUGCUGGUUACUCCAAAAACAAGUGCAUCAUAUCUCUAUGUAUCCCGUAGCUUAUGCGGCCCGUAAUUAGUUUCCUGACAGAUUGAUGAUUGGGAGAAGUAGCUAGAAUGCCCCUGAAUACAGAUUGACGAUUGGGAGUUUUUUGAAGGUUAGAAUUCCAGUAUCUUAGUACUAACCCUAGCGGCGCAACAGCAUACGGCCGGCCGGCGGCAGUAGGGCGACGGCCUAGCAGAGGACCGGCAGGAGUGUUGUGCGGCAUCAAAGCAGUUCUGCGCUGUUACAACGAGCGGAUGAGAAGGGCAGGAAUUAGGCAGUAGGCACGCGGCCGUGUACUUUCAGACAAACUAAAUCAACGUGUCCAAUUAAGCUUUAAAUCAACAAAUCAACUAUUCUCUGUUUUUCAGGACAGAACAUGUGCAAGCUCAUGGUUUUAUGCCGAUUCAUCCUUCAAGACAAGUAUUAGGCGUGUGGCAGCACAACCUAGGUGUGUAGGCGUGUAGCUGCAUACAUGUGAAGGGAAAUAGGGAGGCAGCUUCGGCUUGGAUAUGCUAUUAGGCCUUUGUAAGUUUUACUGAUGCAAAUUCUUUUUGAAAGAUCCCUAAAGUCAUUUACCCUUUUGCCACUGAGAAUUGUUUACUAUUGUGAAUUGUACCAGUGGUCUAAAUUGUCAAUUAAUGACAUAGACCUAGAUACCAUAAAACACCGUUGAUAAAUCGACUGAAAUAUGAACAUUCUUGGCCCAAAGUUACAGCAUUGCACCAAUUAAUUGUUAACCUCUUGGUUUUAAUGAUAAUUGUUCUACUAGGCGUUUUUCUUCUGCUAGCAUUCCAUCAAUAAUGUCAGUUGUAAUUAUAUAUAUAUAAAUAAAACUUAGACAAUCAGUGUGAUUAUUCUGCACAAUGUGUCCAAAUCACUCUAUUUUUCCAUGACAUUAACAAUUGUCCUUUGACUGUCUAUGUGAACGUUCUCUAGAAUUUCAUUCCAAGUUAAGUCUGGUCUUCUUUGCGUAAUUUAUAUAGCAGGGUCUACAAGAAUUGGAUGCAGAUCCACUAUCCCACCCUCCCCUCUGUAUUUACUGCAAUGCAUAUUUACCUGGAGGUAGCAUCUCAGCGGUAUGUCAAGUGCCAAGUCAGUUUUCACUAAAUACAAAUUUUAAUAUAUACUGGUUGUAUAUUUAUGGAUUAUAGUUGAAAUUCUCAAAUGAAUAAAUAUUUUUGUAGUCCUAUAUACAGCUACCUAAAACAGAAGUUGGCACAUCUUCAUUAGAAGGUAUGCUCACUAGCUUGAUUUCUCCUAGAGAUGUAGAAUGUUUAUUCCCGCAAUGUUAUUUUGCAAUUUCCUUUUUUGAUGUAGCUGCUUAUCUAUCAAGUUUAUUUAGCAGAGUGUCUAUGAAAGUGUGCAGUUCAAAUAAUCGGGUUAUGUUAUACUAAGUAUCCUAUAAAUGAUCUGAAUGAACACAAGCGAUGGCGUCCGUCGGCCACGGUGCCCAAGGCGUAGACUGGACCCUUCUAAGGAGGCAUGUGGGGAUGCAUGCAAGACAUGCCCUCAUUCUAUGAAACAAAGUCAAAAGCAAAUGGGAGUAUGAGAGAUGGUGUAUGGACCAAGUGAUGGAGCAUCUCACGGACGGCGGCCCUCACUUCAAGCUCGAUGAGCUUAACUUAAACAUGCUCUUGCACUGGCAUGGUCGUGAUAGGUUUGUCAUCUGGGCGAUUGCCCGUGUUCGAAAGGUUGGUGUGAUUUUUCACUAUAGGAAUUGAUAGCUUGACAGGUUAUUUGGCUUAGCCUAUGUUGUGUUGUUGCUUGUUUGUCUGAUCCCUAUCAUGCUGAUGUUUCAUACCAUGAUAGCUGUUUAUGGUUGUAAUAUUACACCAUUGACAGGUUAAGAAAAGGUGUUUGCUGAUUGAGAAAGUUGAGAGACAACUUACGGACACUAUAACAGUUAGGAAUUUAUUGUUGGGCCAAAAUUAUGUCGUUGUUUAUAUACAUGCAUCAAUUCUUCAUGUAGCUCACUACUUAUUCUGUUAUGAGAAUAACAACUGUAGAUAGAGUCAUUCAUCUUGCUUCUUUUCUAGAUGAAUAACUUCAUUAUGGGUUGUGUCAUCCGAGGCAAGUUGAUACUACCUACUGUAUGCAAAUUCCAGAUGCAUUAGGAGGGGAGUGACGAAGCCGGAGGGGCCGAGGUGCCCUCAUCAUCAUGGGUGCUUGACGGUGCAUCAUAGACCAGGCGGAGGAUCUCCUGGUGGAGCUUGGCAGAACCGAGGCACUUGGAGGAGAAGACGCCAUGGAGCCCUCGCCCGCUGCUGGUAGGCUUUGGCGAGGACGAGCGCCGGGAAAGGUCCCAGAUGUUGCGCCAAGGCCUUCCGCGCCCGCACCCGAGGUAGGUGCUUCACUAACAAGCUGCUACAAGUGUACAAGGCCUUCCACGUUGAAGCUGAGAAGGCAAGAAGAUUUCGUUAUUAAUAGGGACAAAUAGGUGGCUAGCGUAUCCUUUUUGGUUGGCUGAAGCGUUGGAGUGCUAAAGUUCCAGAUAAAAAUCCAUCUUUGGCGCAUUUGUUUUCAGAUUAUUGCUGUUGGAGAUGAGCUAUACAGAGAGAGACACACACACUUAUCUGUACAAAAUCCAUCUUUGGCGCACUUGGGGAAACUUUGUCCAAGGGCAAUUCAUAGAUUGGAAUUUAGAUUUGGGGCAAUUUUGUUUGCCUUGCUUUGUACGGAUGUUGCUAUGCUUUGUGUAUUGUUGUCAUUAUUGUACAGAGAGAAGAUACAGUGAGACAGAUGGAGAGAUAUUGCUAGCUAUUUUUUGUGGAAUUGUUGUGUUCUGUUGGCCAAGAUUAUUCUUUGUUGGUUGCUGAAGCAAAUUGUUGUGAGGGAAAUUGGGCAUAAUUAUCAGCGUGCAACGCUUGAAGGUGUUCGGUGAAGCUUGUGCCACCGGGCAAAAGCUCGCCUUGCUCGACCAGUUGACACUCUGCCAUCAACACAUGAGGAGGACACAAAGUCUGGUGUUUCUUCUGUUGCAACGCAUAGCACGGUGGCAAACUAACGGGAGGGGAAUGGGAGUUUAACUCUAAUUCCCUUUCCCCAUCUCAAUUACCAGCCCUCCUUCAGGAUAUGUGGCACUUCUACACGUGAAUUCCCCU